rnacentral:rRNA from 1 species
UACGUAGGGUGCGAGCGUUGUCCGGAAUUAUUGGGCGUAAAGAGCUCGUAGGUGGUUUGUCGCGUUGUUCGUGAAAACUCACAGCUCAACUGUGGGCGUGCGGGCGAGACGGGCAGACUGGAGUACUGCAGGGGAGACUGGAAUUCCUGGUGUAGCGGUGGAAUGCGCAGAUAUCAGGAGGAACACCGGUGGCGAAGGCGGGUCUCUGGGCAGUAACUGACGCUGAGGAGCGAAAGCGUGGGGAGCGAACAGG